CAGUAGCCGCGGGAACACCGAGGGUGCAAGCGUUAAUCGGAAUUACUGGGCGUAAAGCGCGCGUAGGUGGUUUGUUAAGUUGGAUGUGAAAUCCCCGGGCUCAACCUGGGAACUGCAUCCAAAACUGGCAAGCUAGAGUAUGGUAGAGGGUGGUGGAAUUUCCUGUGUAGCGGUGAAAUGCGUAGAUAUAGGAAGGAACACCAGUGGCGAAGGCGACCACCUGGACUGAUACUGACACUGAGGUGCGAAAGCGUGGGGAGCAAACAGGAUUAGAUACCCCAGUAGUCCCUGUCUCUUAUAC
rnacentral:rRNA from 1 species